CAGUAGCCGCGGUAAUACAGAGGGUGCGAGCGUUAAUCGGAUUUACUGGGCGUAAAGCGUGCGUAGGCGGCUUCUUAAGUCGGAUGUGAAAUCCCUGAGCUUAACUUAGGAAUUGCAUUCGAUACUGGGAAGCUAGAGUAUGGGAGAGGAUGGUAGAAUUCCAGGUGUAGCGGUAAAAUGCGUAGAGAUCUGGAGGAAUACCGAUGGCGAAGGCAGCCAUCUGGCCUAAUACUGACGCUGAGGUACGAAAGCAUGGGGAGCAAACAGGAUUAGAUACCCGAGUAUCCCUGUCUCUUAUACA
rnacentral:rRNA from 1 species